UACGGGGGGGGCAAGCGUUGUUCGGAAUUACUGGGCGUAAAGGGCUCGUAGGCGGCCAACUAAGUCCGACGUGAAAUCCCCAGGCUUAACCUGGGAACUGCGUCGGAUACUGGAUGGCUUGAAUUCGGGAGAGGGAUGCAGAAUUCCAGGUGUAGCGGUGAAAUGCGUAGAUAUCUGGAGGAACACCAAUUGCGAAGGCAGCUCGCUGGGACGUUACUGACGCUGAGACGCGAAAGCGUGGGGAGCAAACAGG
rnacentral:rRNA from 1 species